AUAAAGCGGUCGCUUUAAUUCGGUUGUUUUCAUUCUGUUGUUUUUGUUCUUCAGAGCAGCAGUGUGACUUUCAGCGCGGAGACUCUCUACAGCUACAGCUUCACCUACAGACCAGUUUACUGCUUUAUUCUCACUGUUUAUUAUCUGUACUCUUUAUAAUUACUCAUUAAUAACUGUUUUAUCUCUAUUUUAUUCUUAUUAACUGUGUUUUUCGCUUUUCUCUUUUCUUUUUUUAAUAGGUUACAGCAGCCGGUGAGGGACACCGCCACCCCGCGGUCGAACAUGGUGUCUCCGAGCAGAGUCUGCCCCCUGGGGGUGCGUACUGACCGCUCGGGGAACUCCACCACCCGUCCCCCGGCUUUUGGCUGCCGAAAGGCUUGGGGGAAAUGCAGCAAACGCACGGUGCCCACCUCCCAUCCAGAGCCUGCAGCAAUCCCCAGCAGCCAACCCCCCACCGUCACGACCCCACCCUUCCCUCGGUACACACACUGUAACGUUCUGGUGCCGAUCGCUGUGGCAGAGCUUACCCAGAAGCUGGACUUUGUUGGACCAGAGCCUGAGCUCAUCCCAGGUCCAGCUGCACAGGUAAGAGUUUACAGUUAAUCCAGUAUCAUCUCCAUCUCUCUACCACCUUAAAACGACCGAAGAUCUGAAGAGCUUUAGAAAACCUGCUCAUUUCUUCCUCUCUGAUUCUCCUAGGCUUUGGCCGACCCUGACUGGGAGGUGGGGGACCACGGUCGGGUGGUCAGCGAUGAUGAAGAUGAAGUGGAGAUGUCGAAGGUGAGCGCUCAGUGUUAUUUCACCCAAUUUAGCUUAAAUCUUUAUUGGAAAAUUCUCACAGUUUAGUCUAAAUUCAUAAUUAACAACACUCAAAAAUAAAACUAGAGAUGGAUCAGCA
rnacentral:lncRNA from 1 species